AGAAGACACGGUUACACUUUAAAGCGGCCAUAUUAUGCACAUUUUCAUGUUCAUAAUUGUAAUUUGAGGUUGUAACAGAAUUGGUUUACAUGGAUUCAUUUUCAAAUAACACCAUAUUUUAGUUUUAUUGCACAUUGCUGCAGCGCCUCUUUUCACCCUGUGUGUGUUGAGCUCUCUGUUUUAGCUACAGAGUCAGGCAUCUCACUUCUGUUCCAUCUUUGUUGGGAGCCGCACAUGCGCAGUAACCUAGGUUAGCACUGCUAGCCAGUCAGAAGCAGCCAAGUAGGAGGGCGUGCCACACUAGCUGCUAGGCGAUCAUUGUAACGUGUGUUACAAAGUGACAAGUGUUAAAGGUUGGACUACAAUAGAGCUGUUUGGAGAAGUUUGUGAACAGUGUUUUCUCUUGGAGAUGGUAAGUACCUUUUGGGUGGACUUUGGGCUUUUUCACUUAAGACUAAACCUAUUACAUGCGCAAAAAAUAUUUAACACAACAAAGGGAAGGGAAAAAGCAUAAUAUGAGCUCUUUAAACUUAGUGUUGCGUCUCCAGAUUUUUUUUUUAAGUAAAAAACAUUGAAUUUUCUUUUUUUAUUUAUGUUAUGUAUGCCUUAAGUAGUGUAGUUUUGUGAAACGGUGUGAUUGAUGGGUUUAUUCUUACAUAAGAUUAAGGAUCCACAGAGGGUUUUACAGCAGACAGUGAGAUGCUGAUUUCUUUGGACACAGCUCCAAGAUUUCACAACUCAAAAGACAGAACCCAUGACAAUCUAACAUCCUGUAAAUGGAGGUGAGCUUACCCUCCACAACGCCUGCACACUGUUAAUAUUUGUAAUAUUUCUGAAGUGUGUACAUUUUUGGACGGUCACAUACCAUUUCACUUAAACUUAGAAACCACAUUAUUCAAAAAGAACUGCCAUGAUUGCAUAGACAUCUGUUCUCCAACCAUGUAUUACACUUUUUUUUUCUUUUUUUUUUAAUAUAUGAUUGUAUUUGCUAUGUGUGAUUAUUCAUCUCUGUGUUCUGUGCCUGUAGAUCAGGGAUAUGUCAAAAGAGUUAUUUUUGGGGGGUGGGGGAUCACAUCCAUUUCAUGUUAGAGCAUGAGUUUGUCAAUGCUGAACUUGUGUGCAUUAAAGCCAUACUAAAGCCACCCACUUUACCCCUAGCAGUAAUCACUGUUGAACAUAAACUGUAAGAUGGAGGAACAGACUUGUUUGAAUCGGCACCGUCUGUAUCACAUCCGACAAGGCCUUUAUUAAUUAAUUGUUGCCAAGUGGACUAAAAACUGGCUUUUUAAGCGGGAUCUGUAAAAAUAGACAACUGAACUUGAGUUUCUAAUGUUGUCCUUACUCUACCUUUUGUACUAUUCUGACACAUGAUAAUGGAAAUAAACACAACACUGAA